AUUUUUACCCCAGUUGUCAGGCUUAUCAGUUCCAAAUGUUACCCAAAGAUGUGAAUCUCCUCUCAAACCAACCAAUACUGAUCAACCAUCGACAACGGCAAGACCAAAGUCAAUACCUGAAAAAAUUGAGCAUUCUAAUCUUCUAGAGGGUUUUGUAAGCAGAAAGAACACUGGACCACCUUUUAAUUAUAUCCGCUUUAUAAAAACCGUAAAUAAUCAAUGUAUGACUCUUUGCAACCCAAAAAUUUCAAAACUAGGAAAAGGUAAAACGAAUUUAUCAAUUGGUAAAUCGUGCAAGAGAAGUAAAACUGUCGUAGAGAAAACACAAGAAGAAGGAGAAGAAGGAUUUCAAGGAAAAAAGGCGAUGGUGUGUUAAAGGGAACAAAAGGAGCGUUAAUAUACGAAAAAGAACUAUAAAGCAUAAUUAAAUUACAAUUUUUUUAGUUUGAAAUAUAGAGCACUAUAAGGAUUAUAGGGAGGGUUGUUUUUUGAUGUCCGCUAGAUUCUCAUAAGCUUUGUCAAACAAAAUGUACACUUCCGUCGGAAAUUAUGGGUACGAUCAGCGGGAACGGUAAAAAAAUCAGUGCUGCCUUUGAUACGUAAGCAUUCGUAUAAAAAUAAGCAAAAUGCUUUUGUAAAAAACAUAUCGAAAGCUUACUAAAGUCCGCAAUAAAUGACUCAAAUAGGUAUAUUUUCGAGCAUUGGAAGAGAAUAUACCACGUGAGAAGUUUAAACAAAAAAGCGAGAAUUUCUCAAAGUUUGUACCUCGAAUUCAAAGUGUGGCAUCACAGGAUUGUGACAUUACAGCGUUUUAAGUCUUCUCUUUAAUGUGAGCCAAUAAAACUUUAAAAAUUCUAACUAAAAACUGAAUAUAAAAAUAUAAGACUAAAAAUCGCCAUGCUUGUAUACGUCAAGUUGCAGUCGGCGAAGACACGCUUCAACAUUCUCC